rnacentral:rRNA from 1 species
UACGUAGGGCGCAAGCGUUAUCCGGAAUUAUUGGGCGUAAAGAGCUCGUAGGCGGUUUGUCGCGUCUGCCGUGAAAGUCCGGGGCUCAACUCCGGAUCUGCGGUGGGUACGGGCAGACUAGAGUGAUGUAGGGGAGACUGGAAUUCCUGGUGUAGCGGUGAAAUGCGCAGAUAUCAGGAGGAACACCGGUGGCGAAGGCGGUGGUCUGGGCCGGAACUGACGCUGAGGAGCGAAAAGCGUGGGGGAGCGAACAGG